AGUCAACGCGUGGGAACGUACCUUCUUGGUUCGGAUACAAUCACUAUGCGCAAAUCUUGUGCUAAUACCGUGAUAAGCCCUUAUCGGGGAAAUGAUUUAUCCGCCAGACAAGAUCGUGCCCUGCGUCUGACUUUAGCUACGAUUCCGUGUUGGUCAACUGGCGCUAUCUAAGGCGACCCAUCACGUACUCUGGUCUUGAUGAGGACCGUAUCAGCCACAUUUGGAUAUCUUGAAACCACGGUUCCAGACUCUAAACGGGAGGCAGCAGUGGGGUAAUCUUGCGCAAUGGGCGAAUACGCCUGAUCGCAUCUGACAGCCGCGUGAGUGAUGAAGGCCUUCGGGUUGUAAAGCUCUGUGGAGCGGGACGAAUAAGUCGUGGCCAACAUCCACGAUGAUGACGGUACCGCUUUAGCAAGCACCGGCUAAUUCUGUGCCAGCAGCCGCGGUAAGACAGAGGGUGCAAACAGUUGUUCUGGAAUUACUGGGCGUAAAGCGCGUGUAGGCU
rnacentral:rRNA from 1 species